rnacentral:rRNA from 1 species
UUAAAGGAAUUGACGGAAGGGCACUACCAGGAAUGGAGCCUGCGGCUUAAUUUGACUCAACACGGGGAAGCUUAUCUGGAUAGGACACAGGAAGGAUUGACAGAUUAAGAGCUCUUUCUUGAUUCUGUGGAAGGUGGUGCAUGGCCAUUCUUAGUUGGUGGAGCGAUUUGUCUGGUUAAUUCCGAUAACGAUCGAGACUCUAGCCUACUAAAUAGACGUUCCGAUCCUUGCUGUCGGACGCUCUUCUUAGAGGGACACGCGGCGUUUAGCCGCACGAGACAGAGCAAUAGUAGGUCUGUGAUGCCCUUAGAUGUCCAGAGCCGCACGCGCGCUACAAUGAAGGAAUCAGCGUGUGCUUUCCCUGUCCGACAGGACUGGGUAACCCGUUGAACCUCCUUCGUGCUUGGGAUAGGCGCUUGUAAUUAUUCGCCUUGAACGAGGAAUUCCCAGUAAGCGCGAGUCAUCAGCUCGUGUUGAUUACGUCCCUGCCCUUUGUGCACACCGCCCGUCGCAACAUCCGAUGGAAUGAUUUAGUGAGGUCCUCGGACUGGCGCUCGGAUUGACCUCCGGGUCGAGCCGGCGUGCCGGAAAGAUGAUCGAACUUGGUCAUUUAGAGGAAGUUAAAGUCGUAACAAGGUUUC